rnacentral:misc_RNA from 1 species
AAAAAAAAAAAAAAAACAAAAAGGGAAGAAUCGAAAUUAUCAUCUCAUACACAACAUAUCCACACCUACAUGAGUAAGAAAAAUACAAAAUUUCAUGAAUCAACGGUAGUCCACUCAGUCAGACCCAAGAACAUAAACUACGCGGCAACAGAAUGUAUAAAUGAAAACUCAGCUCAUGAAGCAUAACUUUGUAAACUAUCUAUAAUAUGAUAAACACCUAUUAUCUCCUUAAACAAAAAAUACAUCAGCGAUAAUAGAGAAACAACAGAUGAAAUUUCAAAAAGCCAAAACAAAUGUAUUGCUUGAUUUCCAUGAAAUUUAGCAAUAUAUUCAAACUGAAACAUUUUCAAGACCCUUAAUCCAGAAUAUAGAAAACUCUAAAGCAAGGAAAAAGACCAAAAUAAACUUUAGAACAUAACACGCAGCACAAGCUGUCAAAAGGAUUGAUAGACAUUAGUCAAUCAGAAAACUAAAGAUUUUCUGUACCAUGUCCAUAAGCACACUUGAACCAUGUCUUAUUCCAAUUUGACAUCCUAAAAAUGAGGCUUGCUCUCAGCUUAUUCACUAAAUAAUGCACAUGCACCUAACUGACUGAAACAGCUCAGUUUACUUACAGACCUGAGGCCACAAACACGAAUACCAACUGCAUGACACAUGAAAUAUCAUGUUGAUUGCUUGGGUAGCAAAAGAUCACAGCAAAACAAAAAAAUAGAUCCUCAUAGAAUAUUAACAAGGCUAGUAAUUUCUCAACAACUGGAAUUAACUGUAUUCGCUCAUAAGGAAUAUCACAAAGAAAGAAUGAGGGAAGAAAAAGAAAUUUAAGAA